GAUGAACGCUAGCGGCAGGCCUAAUACAUGCAAGUCGGACGGGAUCUAGAUCUAAGCUUGCUUAGAUUUAGUGAGAGUGGCGCACGGGUGCGUAACGCGUGAGCAACCUACCCAUAUCAGGGGGAGUAGCCCGGACGAAAUACCGGAUUAACACCGCAUGACACAACGACUCGGCAUCGAGAUGUUGUUAAAUAUUAUAGGAUAUGGAUGGCUCGCGGACAUUAGCUAGUUGGUAAGGUAGCGGCUUACCAAGGCUACGAUGUC
rnacentral:rRNA from 1 species